UACAGAGGUCCCGAGCGUUGUUCGGAUUUAUUGGGCGUAAAGGGUGCGUAGGCGGCGGAGUAAGUUGGGUGUGAAAUCCCGGGGCUCAACCUCGGAGUGGCAUUCAAUACUGCUUCGCUAGAGUACUGGAGAGGAGGCUGGAAUUUACGGUGUAGCAGUGAAAUGCGUAGAUAUCGUAAGGAAGGCCGGUGGCGAAAGCGAGCCUCUGGACAGUUACUGACGCUGAGGAGCGAAAGCGUGGGGAGCGAACAGG
rnacentral:rRNA from 1 species